rnacentral:lncRNA from 1 species
GAUGAUAGAUAUGUUCUAUCCCCUCAAUUGGGAUCUCUCAAGUGGAGAUUGAAAACCAAGGGAAAGGGCGAAAGAAGUGGUGAAGAAGGGGAUCAAUGUACUAAACCCACCUUUAAUCCACUUCUUCCUCCUCUCCUCUCUCUUCUCUUCUUCUCCAUUUUCUAUUUUUGGUAUUUACGGAGUUAUUUGUACUUUUUUUCUUGCUAAAGAGCAAAUAGAAGC